rnacentral:rRNA from 1 species
AUUGAACGCUGGCGGCAGGCCUAACACAUGCAAGUCGAACGAGUGGCGGACGGGUGAGUAAUGUCUGGGAAACUGCCUGAUGGAGGGGGAUAACUACUGGAAACGGUAGCUAAUACCGCAUACCAUCAGAUGUGCCCAGAGGGGAUUAGCUAGUUGGUGGGGUAACGGCUCACCAAGGCGACGAUCCCUAGCUGGUCUGAGAGGAUGACCAGACAAACUGGAACGUGGAAACGGGCCAGACUCCUACGGGAGGCAGCAGUGGGGAAUAUUGCACAAUGGGCGCAAGCCUGAUGAAGCAAUGCCGAGUGUAUGAAGAAGGCAUUCGGGUUGUAAAGUACUGUCAGCGGGGAGGCGUUACCCGCAGAAGAAGCACCGGCUAACUCCGUGCCAGCAGCCGCGGUAAUAC